AAGGGAGACCUAAUUCGGGUAGGAGACGAAAAAAAAGUAGUCCCUACCAAGAAUCAAUCCCAAAAGGUCGGAACGAGGUAUGAGGCUUUCAAACUAGGUUCUGGGUUCAUAAAAGACCUGAAUCAGGAACAAGGGCUAUUAGCUCAGGUGGUUAGAGCGCACCCCUGAUAAGGGUGAGGUCCCUGGUUCGAGUCCAGGAUAGCCCACCUGCACAGGUGGCAAAAACAAGAGAAGCUCCGAAUCAGCACCUUAUCUUAUAUACAUAUAUAAGAGAGAAUGCUGGCUCUGAGUACAGAGUCCAGAGGAACCUUGAAAACUGCAUAGAGCUAGGUGAAAAAGCCAAAAAAGAAGACCGCAA
rnacentral:tRNA from 1 species